rnacentral:rRNA from 1 species
CCUACGGAGGCAGCAGUGAGGAAUAUUUGUCAAUGGGCGCGAGCCUGAACCAGCCAAGUAGCGUGAAGGAUGACUGCCCUACGGGUUGUAAACUUCUUUUAUUAAGGAAUAAAGUGAGGCACGUGUGCCUUUUUGUAUGUACUUUAUGAAUAAGGAUCGGCUAACUCCGUGCCAGCAGCCGCGGUAAUACGGAGGAUCCGAGCGUUAUCCGGAUUUAUUGGGUUUAAAGGGAGCGUAGAUGGGUUGUUAAGUCAGUUGUGAAAGUUUUCGGCUCAACCGUGAAAUUGCAAUUGAUACUGUCGGUCUUGAGUACAGUUGAGGUAGGCGGAAUUCGUGGUGUAGCGGUGAAAUGCUUAGAUAUCACGAAGAACUCCGAUUGCGAAGGCAGCUUACUAAACUGGAACUGACAUUGAUGCUCGAAAGUGUGGGUAUCAAACAGGAUUAGAUACCCUUGUAGUC